GACGAACCGUCCGAACGUUAUUCGGAAUUACUGGGCUUAAAGGGUGCGUAGGCGGCGGAGAAAGUAGGGUGUGAAAUCCCUCGGCUUAACCGAGGAACUGCGCUCUAAACUACUUUGCUCGAGGGAGAUAGAGGUGAGCGGAACUUAGGGUGGAGCGGUGAAAUGCGUUGAUAUCCUAAGGAACACCGGUGGUGAAAGCGGCUCACGGGAUCUCUUCUGACGCUGAGGCACGAAAGCUAGGGUAGCGAACGGG
rnacentral:rRNA from 1 species